GCCCCAGCCUCGCCCGGGCCCCGGGACCGCUGAGGGAGGCGGAGCGAGGGCGGGAGGUCGGGCCAUCGUCCCACCUGCCUGCGCUGGGGGACAGGCCGGGGCUGCCAGGUCAGCGCGGGGCGGGGCAGCUUCCCGCCCCUCCGGGCCCCGCGUUAGGGCUGCCGCGGGCCAGGCUAUGGAGCUGGACGAGGCUUUCGGGGCCGUCGGGGAGUUCGGCCGCAGCCAGCAGCGCCUCGCCGCCUUCCUGGUGCUGCUGCAGGUGUAUGUAGCCUGCCAGUCCAUGCUUAUUGUGCUAGUGGGGGCUGUACCACAGUAUCAUAUCAACCAAGAAGAAAUUCCAGCCAGCAGAGAUGAGCUUGCCAAGCACAUCCAAUUUACAGAUAACUUCACAUCUAUAGUAACUGAGUGGUAUUUAAUCAAACAAGAAGCUUAUAAAGUGAGCCUUGUAUCAUCCUUGUUUUUUGCUGGAUUGCUUAUUGGAAAUAUUGCAUUUGGCCCAUUGUCUGAUAAAUUGGGCAGGAAGCCAGUGUACCUGUCAGGUCUGUUCUUUGAUGUAAUUUUCGGGUAUGCUGCAGCAUUUGCUCCAAGCUAUGAAAUUUUUGCAAUGUCACGCUUUAUUGUUGGGAUUAUGAAUGGUGGAAUGUCUCUGGUGUCUUUUGUCUUGACGCAAGAAUAUGUAGGAAAGUCAUUCUGGUCUUUUACAGGUUCAUUAACAAAUUUGACCUUUGCAGUUGGCAUAGCAGUUUAUGCCUUACUGGGUUACUACAUAAGGCAGUGGCGUUACCUUGCAUUUGUAUCAAAUUGUCCAGGAAUUUUCUUUUUUCUCCUUUCUCUUUUGCUUCCAGAAUCACCCAGAUGGCUGUAUUCCCAGGGGAACACUAUAGAAGCGGAGCGUGUACUACAAUACCUAGCCCUGGGUAAUGGAAAAGAAAGGUUAACUAUAAAAUUAAAAGCAUGUGCAGGUACAAUGAAAACAGAUGAAUCAGCACCCAAAGUCCUAAGCCUAGUAAAACACCCAGUCCUUCGGUGGCGAACUGUCAUUUUGAUGUAUAUCUGGUAUGUCUGCAGUCUUGUGUACUAUGGCUUAACAUUGAAUGCUGGUGAAUUAGGAGGAAAUCUGUACCUAAAUGUAGCUCUGUAUGGCCUUGUAGAAGUUCCAGCAUUUCCACUCUGUAUGUUCUUUAUUGAGAAACCCUGGUCUGGAAGACGUAAAACUAUGACUUCUUUUCUAAUAUUUGCAGGAUUUGCCUGUAUAAUCACCAUGCUUUUACCUGAAAAUGCUGGUUUAUUCUUCAGUCCAGCUUCAUUAGCAUUGUGUGGAAAAAUGACAGUCAGUGCUGCCUUCAACAUAGUGUAUAUUUAUACUUCAGAACUCUACCCGACAGUAUUAAGAAAUGCUGGCUUGGGUGUCUGUUCAAUGACUUGUAGAUUUGGUGGUAUUUUAGCUCCAUUUGUGCCUUCAAUGAAAUCUCUUAAUCCAUCUGUGCCAUUUGUGGUUUUUGGGAUCAGUGGAUUAUCAGCAGGAUUCUUGACUCUUCUUCUUCCAGAAACUCUAAACAAGCCAAUUGCAGAGAGCAUUGAAGACCUGCAGAUGCCCAAAUACCAAUCUCUAAAAAACAAAAAGGCAGAGUAAAAGCAUUUUAAUGUAGCUUUUUAUUAAUUUACAUACAUCUGCAGGUCACAGUAUGGUAACUCAAUUAGAAGAAAACACUUAAACUUUCAGAAAACAUCUCUGUAGUGAAAAAUCCAACAUCUUUUGGAUUUUUUUGGAAAGAUACUUUUACAAUUAGUGUGGAACCAUUGUGAGAUACCACAGUGGAGGACAUACCUUAUGCCAAGGGAUAUAAAGUAAAGUAACAUUGUCAGUAUUUUAAACAAUUCAUUUUUAUAUCAAGGUAAACUGAGAAGAUGGAAAAACAGUUGGACAAAAAAUGUGAAAAAGAAAUAGCAAAUCUAUGCAUUGAUUUAAGGACUCUAUAAGCUAUACUUUGGAUAUGGAAUAUAUAGUUUUUGAACUGAUGGAAUAUUUUACUCUAUUGUUUUGAUAUAUCUUACUCCAUUUGUAAGAUAUAAUUGUCAGAUGCAAACUAAACUAUAAUGGUGAAUGGAAGUGCCAUAUGUAUGUGUGUAUGUAUGUAUGUGUGUGUGUGUGUAUAUAUAUAUAUAUAUAUAUAUAUAUAUAUAUAUAAACUUACAGAAUAGGUUGCAGGGCAGCCUUAUAUAUUUAGGCAUGCUGUAAUUGUUAAAAAUAAUUACACCAUGUAUAUCAAUAUCCUUAACUUCUUUUUAUUUUUAAGCUACAUAAUACCUCACAGUAUAUUUCAAAGCAAGAAGACCAAUGGUUUUUAAAGUUUAUUGUCCUAAGUAUAAUGUGAGCAACAUGAGAACCUUGGUCAAAUUGAUCAAGGCGUUUCAAAGGGAAGUAAAAGGACUAUAAUGCUGGAUGUGUUUUUUUCUAGAUCCAUUUAAAUAGCACAGAAAUGUAAAGUUAAAAAUGACCAUACUGGAAAGAAUAGCACAGUGUUUUGUUUGUUUUUUGAAGAAAAGAGUUAUAUUUCAGUACAUGAGUACCAAACAUUUAGUCAAAAGUUUAUUUAGAGGAUUAAUUUAGCUAGCAGCAAAUGCUGACCUUAGGUAUAGCAGCAAAACUAGGAACAAGAUUAUCAAACAGCAUAUAUUUAUAAACAGCAUUAUUAUUUCCAGUAGGACUUGGAAAUAUCUGUGGCAGAAAUAUAAGAGUUUAGUCAACAAUAUGUGCAAUUUGGAGUAGGUAUGUUAUAGAUGUUAUGUUUACUUGAUGCCCAAAACAUUUGUGUAAUUAAAAAGAAAAUUUUGUAACAAAUGUUCUUUUGCAGGUAUAUCUGCCCAUGCUGUUAUAAGGCUAUUUCCAACAUUUGGACUCUGGUCCUUUAUUUACUGUACUUGGUAGGGAAAGCCAUUGCAUUUUGACAUCAGUUCCAUAAGCAGACUACAGUGCUGCAAAUCACAUAUGGACUAACUGCUAUGCCUUAAUGUAACCUCACUGAAGAUAAUGGGACUCUAAAUGGACACAGCAUUUCACAUGUGCAUUAUAAAUUGCACAAUUAAUUCCUUAAACUGUUAAAAGGUAAAACGCAGAGAAAGUUGUGAUUUUAGAUUACAUAAGCAUAAUUGAUCUGUAGUAAAGCAAAGCAUAGAAUAAAGUGCAAGCAUUUUUUUUCCUGAGGCUUUUUUGUAUUUGUAAAUAGAGGCUGCCAACAAGUAUGUCUUUCUAGCAGGGGAAAUUUUUGAGAAAUUUCUCCCACCAGAACCUGUUCUGGGGGGUGGGGAGCAGUACAGGCAUUUAUCCAGCAACUGUCCCCUCUCCCUUGCUCUCCACACCUUCCCCAGCCCCAGUGAUCAGUCUGGGGAGGGUAUGAGGAGCAGGUUGCUCCAUUCCUUUUGGCUCCAGGAGGACUUUGCAUGUCCCACGUUGAGAGAGUUUUUCUCCCGUGCGGCACUUCAAUGCUGGCUCCCAUAGUUCUCCUGGGGCAGUUCCUGGUCUGUGGAAGUGGUGGGGAGCGUUGGCCUGUUUCUCCCCUCCCUUCCCAGACUAGUCCAGGAGGGGAGGAGAGCAGUGGUGUAAAGCCCCCAGACCAGAAGGAGAGUAAACAAGCAUUUUUUCUUGAAAGAGAAACUUUCUUGCAAGGUAGAUCUUCCAGGUUACUCUUGGAAUAUCUUUCCCCAGAAGGGGCAUGCUUCCUCUCAGAUAAAUUGAGUGAGCACUUGUAUACUUCUGUUUCUGUUGGGAGAAAAGCAAUUCUCUUGGUAGAAAUGUAGCUCCUGUGUGUGGCCAUAGUUUGGUGGUUUACUCCCUGCUUGUAGCAUUUAUAACCACAAUGGAUAGGUAUACGUCUUCAAAGGACAAUUAAAUCAGCAGAGAAAUAGUGAAGAUGAACACUUAUUACUGUUGACUUAACAGUAUACAUAUUUUGUCAUAAAAAUUAAAUAAAAAAAAACCAACCCAACUACCUAGAGGUAGAAGUAAGACAUUGAAACAGGGUCCCCCUGAAGACAUCAUUGGUACAGUUAAAAGUCUGUAUCCUUCUUCUGCCAGAUAUUUAAUGCAUCAAUCUAAAAAAUGUUUUCCCCCCUUUCUUUUGUACCAGAUCCUGCCGAAAGCAGGAAAUAAAUAAUCAUCUUUAUUUUAUAUGCAUUUAUCUCAUAGUUAUUUUUUAUAUUGAAUGUAUCUUGCUCAGUAUCUACUAAGUAUUUUGUAUAUUUGACAGUUUGAUGAUCACAAAGGCCUUUUGUUUUAUAUGCUUGCCUCUGUUGUAAGGAAUAAAAUUAAUGGUACCCUGCACAA